rnacentral:rRNA from 1 species
GACAGAGGGUGCAAACGUUGCUCGGAAUUACUGGGCGUAAAGCGCGUGUAGGCGGGCUGAUAAGUCGGACGUGAAAUCCCUGGGCUCAACCCAGGAACUGCAUCCGAAACUGUCAGUCUGGGAGUGGUGGAGAGGGAAGCAGAAUUCCUGGUGUAGAGGUGAAAUUCGUAGAUAUCAGGAGGAACACCGGUGGCGAAGGCGGCUUCCUGGACACUAACUGGACGCU